AGUGGGCAUAUGAUGAAUCUUAUAUAUAUAGUGUAAAUUGGGUAAUUUGCAUCUGAGUUGCAUUGAUGCUAUAUCACCAUGGAGGUUUGAUGCCCAAC